rnacentral:lncRNA from 1 species
CUUGGCUAGGCUGUGGUGUGCAGUUGUUUUGUCAACCCUAGCUUACAUGUUGUUGUAUAUUCCAGUUGUAGGUUCUUCUGGUUGUGCUAUAUGGGAUGCUGCCUCAACGUGGCUUGAUGAGCAGAGCCAUGUCUGUGCCCAGGAUCCGAACCAGUGAAACCCUGGGCCGCCAAAGCAGAGUGUGCCAACUUAAUCGCUCGGCCACAGGGCUGUCCCCUCUCAGAGGAUUCUUAUCUCCAAGGCUUAAGGAACUAAGGCCACAAACUGAAACUAGAUCAGGCACUGGAGAAACCGAGAAAUCAAAGGAACCCUUGCCUUGGGGAGAGCUUCUUAUUCAUCAAGACCAAAUAGGUAACCCAGAGAUGAAGAACGCAAGUAACCAUUGCAGUUAACUCUUUUUCUAAAAAAAAUAUUUUUAUUGUAAAAUUAAACACAGAUACAGAAAAACAAACUACUGUGAAGCUUAGUGAAUUAUUAUGCAGUGAAUACCCUUAUAACUACCACCCAAAUCGAGAAAGAAUUCCCAGGCACCCCCGUCACCCCUCCAUGUGCCUCAUCCCAACACAAUCUCUCCCUACCUCCAAAAGUAACCACUAUCCUGACUUUUGUAGUAAUUACUUCCUUGCAUUUAUUUAUGGUUUUAUCACUUAAGUGUGCAUCUCUAAAACCUAUAGUUUAGUCUUGUCCAUAUGUUUUUUAACUUGAUAGGCUUUUUAGGUCUCUUUUAAUCUGUGGUUUCCCCCUCUACCUCUUUCUUUUCCUUACAAUUUAUCUGUUGACAAAUCUGGGCCAUUUGACUUGUCAGGUUUCCUACAGUGAGAUUUGCUGACUGCUCACUCAUGGUGCAGUUCAGCGUGUUCCUCUGUCUUCUGUAUUUCCUGCCAUUUGGGAGCUGGAUCAAGAGGAUUGAUUUAAUACAGGUUUAAUCCCUUUAAUAAGAUUAUUGGUGAUGUUAUAUCUUGUGUCUGGUUUACACUGUUUUUGAUAUUAGUCGAAGCAGAUGCUCAAGGUCUACCUCAUUAAUUCAUUGGGAGUUGAAAAUAGUAAUAUUUUAAUUUCAUAUAUUUAUUUAU